ensembl:lncRNA
AUGACAGUUGUCCGCAGGGUUUCUAUGGGAGGUUCUGAAGGAGGAGGUGUAACUGCCCCAACAAUGUACACUACCGUCGUCUGUAUAUGGAGGGUGUCUGUGCGCACCUGGCCUCUACGGCAAAUUCUGCCAUCUGUCAUGUCCCAAAUGGACUCACGGUGCGGGGUUGCUCAGAGGAAUGCAAAUGUGCACAGGAAAACUCUCUGUCUUGUGAUCUACAAAAAGACACCUGCACUUGUAAACCUGGUUACCAUGGCGACCGCUGUCAGGAAGAAUGUGACAAAGGAUACUACGGCAUUGGCUGCCGCGAGUGAUGUAACUGCUCUGAUGGUGUGCUGUGUGAUCCCAAAAUGGGAGAGUGCCAGAAGAUAUGACCAGCAGGAUACCAUGGAGAGAAAUGCCAGCUGA